AGCGGGCCUGAGAAGAAAACAAUUGCAGAUAUGAAGCUGUAGACCUUGAGGCCUUCAGCAUCAGCCCGCUGCUAGACGUGGCAGGGGUUGUCCUAGUCGCACACCCGGCCAGAGUCUCCCCAUCCCUUACCGGGGUGGGGGAGCUGGGUGGUGCAGCCAGAUGAAUAACUGAUGAAGCAGUGCCUAUCUGAAAUGGAGUACAAAUCUUAACCCUGGCAACUCUGCAUUCGAGCGUUUAUCGCCUCUAGCCUGAGGCGCACCUGGUGCUGCCCGCCAGAAACACCCCUGUAGGUGAUGGUGUAAGCAGGAGGUGAAGGAAGCAACGUCCUGCUGCAGGAGCCGCAGGUCGUGCCCAAGCGAUCCCGGCUGCAGUCAGAUUCUUAAAAUGCAAUGGCAGUUUUGAUGGUGACUUGUCAGGGCCUCUGAUAUGUCUCAGCUGGGUGACAGUGCACCUAGGGACUGUGAUGAUUUUCCAGCUGACUGACGGAGUUUUGCCUCCCUGUGGAUUUGGAAGGGGGAGCGAGGAAGCAAAUACACCACCUCUCACAGUACCUUGCUUUUCCUCGGUGGCUUUUGCUGCAGCGCAGCUGGGAACUGCUCCUGUUUACCUUGCCAACGCUUGCUGCGAAGCACUUGCCAGACACCUCAGCUCAUUAAAGGUGGGGAUUUUUGUGGCGGGAGAGCAUCAGGAGAAAAACGAUUAAUUAUCCUGUGUCUACCGAUUACCCAGCUCCCUGGUAAUGCUGUUUUCUCUCCUCGGUUAUAAAUCAAGCUGACCUGCCGGUGUUACAUGUGAGAGAGCCCUUGCGGAGAGGGAUGCUCCUGCGGAAAGCAGGCAGCAGGGCAGCUGUGGUUUUCCUCUGUGUGCGGUUGUGGCUGGGGAGGCAUCCUGUGGCUGACUCCUCCUAAUGUGCCCCUGCCACGUGAAAAUCCCCCUUGGCGCUGCUUCGACUUCUUUUCUGGAGAUGGGACUCUGUAGAUCUGCUUUUAAUGAUUAAUUGAGUGGUGUUGGGCAAGGUGUUUGCUCAGAGUAGUUUGCAGUGCCAUGCAAGGGGCGUGCCUGUUGGGAAGAGAUUUCUGGGGACCUCUCUCUCUCUCUCUCUCUCUCUCUCUCUUCCCUCCGCCCUUUUUGUCUCGUUUAUAACUGCUUUUUUUGGGCCAGGUCGAUGGCAGCUUAAGUCACGUGCAUGCAGCGCUGUAUCUGUGGUGGCUCCUGCGUAGCUGGAUGGAGCUCUCAUGUCAAUAAUCUGCUGCUGCUGUUGUUGUUGCUUUGGCAAUACCUUUUUAACAAAAUCCACCUGGUCCCAAAACGUGAGACCCAUGUGCUGUUCCCCAUCUCCAGAUUUGUUUUGCUCUUGGGGUGAAUUUUCUCCUCCUUUCUCGCUUCACGUUCCCUAAAACAUUCGAUGAUCCCUUUUGAGGGAAGAGGAACGCCAGCUGCCUUCUCCGAGAGCGCCAGCAGCAAAGCGACGCUGCCCGCGAUCCUGGAAGCAAUGUGGGGAGCAUGAUGCUUGCUGCUCACAGGAGGGAGAAGCUCCCUGCGGGAACCUAGGACUCUCACACAGCAACAAGAGGACAAGAGGUGUGCUUUUCCAGGCGUCCCUUUGGAACUGUGGACCCAUGGGGUUAGCGUUGGUAUUUGCACGUUUCGAGUCACGCUGGGGAGGGAAAACAAAGAAGAAAAAGGCCAAGCUUUGAAGCGUUCAGCUGGCCGAGCAGCUUUGCCAGCUUUCUACUUCCGUCGGCUGUCGCACGCCACACUGAGGUGUGUGGGUCAGCCUGGGGAGCUAUGGUUGAUUUGUGUGUCCUCGGCUUGGAAUUUGGAGGGCGCAGACCUUGGCACAGCACCCUGGGGCCCUCUCCCGUCCCAGGUGUGUGGCCAGCGACUCCUCUCUCCUCCCUGAACCCGCUGACAAGGAGCAGCGGAAGGGGAGAAGGAGGGAGUAGCGCGGGAGGAGAGGGAGCCAGGCAGGAGCACGGCAGAAGAGGGGAAAUGGUGAGUACUGUCGGGCGGCAGCGCAGAUGGUUGGGUCGCUAGGUCGGCAGCCCUGCCUGACCCGCGUCCGGGCUAAUAAUGUUUUCUCUGACUCCUGCCUGCUUGCUGCAGCUCAUUAAUUGAUUUGACGGAGCAAAAAGGAAAACAGCAGUGAUUAAGUGGAGUGAAACUGUACUUUAAAUUCUCUUGCUGGCGCGUGGUGAUGUUUCCCUCCCCCUCUUCAGAGCUGGUUGCCGUCUCCGUACCCUGCUGUUUUCCGUUCCCCUUGCCCGAGGUUUGAUAGAUGCUGCAGUCUCUUCUUUGGCUGAAACGAGCUCAGAACUGGGAUUUUGCUGAUUCUGGAGGCCACGUCCUGGUGGCCAGUGGGCUUCGGGCAGAGUUAGCUGCUGCCCUUGCUGCAGCCACGGCAAAGGCCUCUGUUCUAGCCUGUGCCAUAAUUAGAUCAUUUAAAGAGCGCUCUGAAUAUUUCCUCUCUUCCCCCCUUCGAAAUACGAACGGAAUAAGACCUCCGUUUGGCCAAACCAUGCUUGGUGGGGCUGUCUUUUGAAAGAAAGAAAGAAACAAACAAAAAAACCGCAGCGGCAGGUAAAUGCAAGUGAUGGACUUAACCUCUAGGUCCAGAGUCCUGCCUGUGUGGCUUCUCAGGCCAGCUGUGAGUACUUUACCCCAAGCUCCCUGAUAAACAGGGGAGUCGCCUCUUUUUCACUGCUGCUGAACAACAUAGCCAUCCUCCCAGCGUUACGCGGUAGGGCACAAGGAAAGGGGAAAAAGUUCUGUAGGCUUAAAUGGAUACUUUCCAGGUGCGAAGGCGCUCCUGCUAUAUAUAAAGUGCAGAGCGAAAGCCUGCCUUUCAAUACAUUGUAUUUAACUCAGUCCAAUUCCAUUCCCUUGUUCUACGGCGAUAAAAACACUAUCACUCUUUCAUCUCUACCCCUUUCUUCCUGCGUCGGUUCUGUGAAAAUGGUGUUUGGGGGCAGUAAAUUACAAAAUGGAACUAUGCAUUCAUAAAAUGUUUUAUGCCUCCCUCCAUCAAUAUUUCAACAUGGAACACAGACAUCAACAUUUCAUUUUAAUUACGCCGCAAAUUUCCCUGUCGAGGAAGAAAGCUGAACUCUACGAGCCAGCCCAACCUCGUUCCCGUCCCCUCCCUGCCACAGGAGCGCGGCGACAUCCAAUUAGUAACGUCUUUCUAACGUAUUGUAGCCGCAGUCGCGGCGCGGGGCUGCGUGCGUGCCUGGCGUGCCUCCCCGUCGUGGGAGGAGGCGUUCCAGCCGGGCUGAACCUGGCCUGUUUCAUCCUUCCUUGAAACUCUUCUUGCUGCGGGGUGAAGGAGGUCUCGAAGCCAUUCGUGCAAGUAUCCGUAGGAGCUGGCAGGCUGCCUGGAGCUCUGCAGCGAGCAGCAAGGGCGAUCUAGCGUGAACAGAAGGUUUGGGAAGAUAGCGUCACGCUUUUUCAAACUGUCCUGUCUUCGGUUGCGUUAGUUGCUAGGACUGCUUCCGUUCACAGAAGAAAGAGAAAGGACGUGACAGAGGCGUGCAAGCUGCCGAACGACACGGGCAAGUCGUUCCAUGCCCUCACGUAGCCUUUUCCGUGAUAUUUUGGAAGCAGCCCCUUGCAACUGUUAAGGGGCAGAACAUUGCAUACCCAAUUAACGUGUUAACCUACAAGACUCGUUGCCCCAGGAUACCACCAAGUCUUAAAACAUAGCAGAUUUUUGUGACGUAAAACAUUCACAGGUGUGUUAGCUAGGAUAACAAUAUAAAUGGCCAUGCUUCAGGGAAGGGGGAGAUCCGUAAGAGACACCGAGGAAAUGCAUUCCUCGUGGUGGUGCUGUUCCAUCGUUGUCAAUUAUAAGGAGUGUUAAAUGUUCCUCUGUAGCAGCUGGUGUGCGGGGUAUUACUGUAGAGAGAGUAUUAAAUUAGAGGGGUUAUCAGUGUAAUUCAAUAAGACAAUUUCUGCGGUCAUAUCCCAAAGACAGUGGAAAAGGUGGGGAAGAGAGAGCUGCACCCGUGACACACGCAAGUGCUAACUGGAAGGGAAAGAAGUGUUCAUUGCUUGUUAGCUAGUACAAACGUAAACGUACUGAUUUAUGUAACUUUCCCACAGCUAGCUGCUGGCUGGAGAAGCAUCCUUAAAACACACAUCUAAAUUAAUAUGGUCCAGGUGGUUCUGAGGCCCGCCAGGUCCAAGCAAUUCCAUCUGAUGGUUAACAACAACCCGCUCUUGGAGGGAGAAGUGUUGGCAUCUUCAGCUUAUCACUGAUGUCUCCCUUUUGCUCAGCGCUACACCAGAGUCACGUCUAAGGAGCCCCAGGUCCUCACUUCGCCCCUCUGUCAGGGUCUUAACGCUUGGGGACGCGACCAAACCCUUACGGGGCAAAGAAGGGUGUACCCCAGCCUGACGAUGAAGAGAUGCUCCUCUGCUCAUCUCCAGAUGCUCCUGAACUGGCCAGAAGCUGCUGUGGUUCUGUCGUCGUGACUUUUCGUGAUGAUGGUGUCCGUAUUAUUUUGGAUGAAGCAUGAAACGGAGGAUCUGAGCGCUUGCGGUAAUCUAUAAGGCCUCUGGCAUCUAUUUGGAAUAAACUUUAUUUAGUUUAUUUAGAAUAAAGUCCUAUUUGGAGAAGGUGGCAGAAGAGAUUCUUACAUGUGACAUUCCAGUGAUCUUGAGGGUGAUGGUUGCGUUAUGAGAGAGAGACUAUCGAUCGACUUGACUUCCCCUGUGCUGAGAUCGCUCCAAAUCAAGCCUGUGGCAAGUCGUGUUCCUGUGCGCCCAGGGGUAUCUGAAGCAUGAUGUUAAUUUCUGGAAGCACCUGGUCAGCUAAACCAGCCCCUAAAGAUGGACCCGUCCCCUCAGGGAGUACGCUGCAGACAGACGGGGGAAGUCUUGCAACAGGUCGGAGCAGCAGCCUGCCAGGAAAACAGCUAAGACUUGGGAAUAGAGAAACUAUCUCUGCUUGCAGAUGAAGGUGGAGACCCUGAACUGAAAGGAACACGAAAAGAUUCUAAUUAGCACUGGACAAAUAAUAAAAUUAGGCCCCGCUUGAGGAGAGGAUUGUUUUUAAUUUUCUAAAUCAACAAAAAUGGCAGAGUUGGAGUGAACUGAAAGCGUGGCACCUACUUGAAUGCUCGACAGCAUCCUUGGGCCUAGUUAUAUGUAAAAAGGUGAGCUCUGCGGUGGGGUUAUUUCUGUCAUCAAAGAGUUAGAGUUGUGUUGCUGGACGUGUUGAUGAGUUGCCGAUGGCUGUAUCACCUGUGAACGUCAACCUGAUGCUCAGGAGAAACCUGAUACUCAGGAGAAAGGUGAACGUUUGUGGGCUUACCUCAUGCCUCCUCGUAUGGCCCACCCGUGGCAAGCAGGAGAAAUCCUGCUUUGGGUAACAGGUGGGGAGACCUGCAGGCUCGUGGCUGUGUGUGACACCGAGUCUUCUGGGGUGCAAGCAGGCUUGUCUCGAGCCCUUCUCUCCUCCCUGCCUUGCUGAGAAGGACCCGCAAGGAGGAAACUGCGCUUACUCCUCCUUCAGCGGCUCUUCUGUAGCAAAUUGGACACCCCUGGAGAGCUUGUUUGUGGGGAGGCUGGUAUCUGAGGACUCUUGGAAAAGAGCCCUGUGCCUUCAGAGUCAGCCACUUGGACAUCACAACUUAACUCUUUCUCUGGCCCAGUGCCUGAUGAUCUGACACGUUUCUGCCAAGCUGAGAGGAAGAAUUUUGCUGAAAGCUCCAAGAACUUUCUUUCCUCCACCUGCAAUUGUUCAGCUGAACCUUCAUUCGUCUGUAUUGCUAUUUUUCUAAUUCUCUUCUGGGCUCCGAAUCACUGUGAUUACACCAAAUGCGGCACGUUUCAUGUACCAUGGAAAUGAUUUUCAGGCCCAACUCUCUUACUCUGUGCUCAGAGGAUCGUUAAAGAUACUGCUUUUUAGAAGUAAGGUUUCCUACCCUCCCCGCUCUGUUUCAAAUCCUGUGUUGACCUGCAAAGUAAUAAAACUCCUGAAUUUAUUAUGUUGCAUUAAUUAAUUAUCUCUAUAGCAACAUGCGCACCGUUGCCAUAAAUAUGGGAGUUUGGCAGCACAGCUGGGUGGAGGAAUCACUUGAGCAUUUUUAAAUGCUCAAAUAUCUGCAAUAGCUAAGGAAACAAAAAGAUUGCUAGGAAGUAAUCUGUUUUGCAUAGUUUCUCUUUCACUGCCCCGUCCCUUUUCAGCUUCUACUACUGGCGUGGAAUUGACUGAAUCUUCUGCGUUGUAUACGUCCAGCGUGUUCCCAUUGAAGGAGGUUUUUUUUGUCCAAGCUGUUAGUCCAUCUCCCCGCCUGUUGAAAGCACAAGGUUGUUUCCCGAUUGCUUCUGUGCCAACACAUGGAAACCCUGGUCCAGGCCGCGGUGUUCUUGCUUGCAGGAGGAAUCCCUUCGUUUUCAGCAAAGCACAGGAAAGAUUACUGAAAACGUCUCCAGGAUGCUUCUAGCUGGAGCUAGCAGGGAUAGCGCAGUGGCGCAGUGGGCUGUCACAGCAGUGUUAUUUAAGCGGUCAAGCUAGUUCCCCUCGCUGAAGCACAAAUUGGAGAUGUUCCCUCAGCCGUCUCCAGGUGCGGGCUGGCUUUAGAGGCGUUGCUCGGGCUAACAGGAGCCAUCUUGCUGUGGAGAAGCAGGCAGUUUGCUGUGGAAAGACGCCGUCACCAAGGGCCCUGCGAUGCCUCGAGACUGCGUGGCCUCGAGACAGCGAGUGUCUCUGUACUGGAAGCUUCCAUUGGGGUGCCGAAGAAUAAAAUGACGUGCUUUGGACAACGGUCUCAGGCAGAGUGCGAUACGUCUGUAUGGAGGAGUCUGUGAUAUGCGGUGUUGGUAUUUAUUCAGCAUCCUGGCUAUGGGAGGUGUUGCAUGGCUACAUCCGGUGGAGUGAAGAGCUUGUGAUCUCAGAGAAGCAUUUUGGGGCGCCGGGCCCUCUGUAUACAGAGGGAAGAGACUUGGGAUAUUUGUUUAAUUCUGCGCUGAGGUGGAGCAGAGACCUUUGAAAGCCCAGAGGAGACUGACGCUGAGAGGUGAGCCGCUGGGCAGUCGUUUGGGUUGAAGAAUCUGAGGGUUAAAACCUUGGUUUGGACCAGCCCAGAUCAUUUGUCCCCCAGUAUCUACUGGGAAAAGAAGGUCUGAAACAUUGCUGCUCUGCUCUGUAUAUAAUUACCUAGGCCAGGGAGGCUCUAACUCCGAGCACAGUGAGCUCUGCGCAAAACUCGUUUUGGAAAUCAGUGCUAUCUGCUGGGGAUAUGUGCGAAAAUGGUUAAGCUGUUUAAAAAAAAAAUAAAUUAUAUAAAUUAGAAAACUGUUAACACAGUAAUAUUUUUAUUUUCAUGGAAAAGUGUUUGUUUUGGUCGUGCGUACAAAGUUUCAGCUAUUCUAAAACACUGAGAUUUCACAGCCAAGCUUUCAUGUUCCCAGCAGAGAAGGAGGUGAGAGUUUCAAAGAAUCUCUGUUCUUAUUUCAACACUGUGCUAUCCGGGCAAAUUUUCAAAAGAGCCCAGUUUGCUGACAUAAAUGGGGUUGCUGAUGUGCUGAAAGAGAAGGAAGUGCCUGAGAAUAUAUUCUUGACUGAGUCUAAGUCUUUCCCAUUUUAUCUUUCUGCUCCAUAUGUUUUUUUCUGUAAUGAGAGGAAUUAUUUAUUGUUAAAGUGCUAUAUAAUUUGAAAAUUAAACUUAAAAUUAAUGAAUGCUUAAAUGA